AUAAAUGGUUAAUGGUGAUGAAUUAUUCUUAUUAUCUUGUGAAAAUGUGUUGAGAUUAUUUCAUAUAAUGCCAUUGCUGUUCCAGUUGAGGAGAAAAUGUUUUUCUAUGGAAUAUGCCAAUACAAUUUUUGUUGACUGUGUCAAAUAUGUUCCAAAUAUAUAAUGGUCAAAAUAUGUAUAGAGGAUAUAUUAAUGGUGAUCCCAUGGCAUGUUUGUUGGCUUCUGCUCAACAGCUUCACAUUGAUACUACAUUUAAAAGCAGAUCGGCACAAUCAACAAAUGAUCAGUUAUUGAUAGUUAUGGCAAAGUACAUGGACCAGGCAUUCCAGUGGCAUAUGUAUUGAUGUGGAGAAAGACUGAAGCAGCAUAUCAAUCAGUAUUUUAGUUUAUAAGUGAAAUGUAUGAUGUUAGAGCAACAAACAUUGUCACAGACUAUGAAACAGCAUUGACAAAUGCUCUCGGUCGCGUAUUUAAUACUGUUCUCCUGCAGAAAUUUUGGUUCCACAUGGUGCAAGCAUUAGAGAAAAAUGAAAAAGAAUUUGGCAUACGGAGACAAGUGUAUACUGUAUAGAGAUGAGUAGAUGACACUUUCUUACACACAAUGCUCUGUAUGUCACAAGCCAUAGCAUUGUUGCUAUUCAAUAUAAUACCAGAAGGUUAGGAAAUAGUUAAAAGAAAAGCCAGUCACUCUCCAAAUCAAGAUGUUGCUAGACGUUAUGUAAGAUACUUCGAAACACAUUGGAUUGAGCGUGUUGGUGUUGCUAACUCCAAUGUGUUCAAUAGUCCUAGAAGAACAAAUAAUGAUUAAGAUGUCUUCCACAGACUUUUAAACUUCUACAUGGGUGGAAAUCAUCUCAGUAUUUGGCUUUUUACGAAUAUACAAUUAUAUUAUGUUACUUAUUAUAAUGAUUCAAUUCAAUUUCCUGAAAUAUUACUAAAACUGGACGAACAUUAUAGUAAAAAAUACCAUAUUCAACAAGAUCGGCCUAUACUGAGACCAAGGCAUAGACAAUAAUAUGUGCAGCUUGACCAAAAUCUAUCGUCAACCAUAGAAAGAUUACAGCAAGGAUGAAUCUUUGUUGAAGAAUUCCUUACCUAUACUGGAUAUUUGGCAUAUGAUUCCAGAACUCAGACGGUCAAACAAUACAGCAUAUGAAAUUCCUCACAAUACAGCAAUUAUUGCCGAUGAUGAAGAUUGUAAGAAAACAAAAACAUAUUCUCAGACUAUAAUUACUUCACCAAAAAACGAUGUUCCUCUAAUGACUACUACUGAUGCUUCAAGGGUUUACAUCAAAUAUUAAAACAUAAUUGACAAUGAAAUUGAUACACCAUUGUCAACUUGGUUGGCCCAUGCAAAAUGUAUCAAAGCUAUCGUUGUUAAUUGGAGUGAAAGAUAUUGGUGAUAGUAUACGACGUAUAAUGUUGAAAAUGUUUUCUGAUGAACUUAUAAUAAACUAUUCACUCUUGGGAUUUAAAAAAAAAAAAAUUUUCAUUACUCGGAAGUUAUCAAUUAAUCAUUGAUGCUUUAAGGGUUCAUAUCAAAUAUAAAAACAUAAUUGACACGGAAAUUGAUACACCAUUGUCCACUUGGUUGGCCCUUGCAAAAUGUAGGCUACUAAACAAAACUAAUACUGUG